UGUGAGUCGUGGUGCAUCAGCCUCUAUACAGUGAAACUGCGAAUGGCUCAUUAAAUCAGUUAUCGUUUAUUUGAUAGUACCUUACUACUUGGAUAACCGUGGUAAUUCUAGAGCUAAUACAUGCUAAAAAUCCCGACCUCCGGAAGGGAUGUAUUUAUUAGAUAAAAAACCAAUGCCUUCGGGCUCCUUGGUGAUUCAUGAUAACUUAACGAAUCGCAUGGCCUUGCGCCGGCGAUGGUUCAUUCAAAUUUCUGCCCUAUCAACUUUCGAUGGUAGGAUAGUGGCCUACCAUGGUUUCAACGGGUAACGGGGAAUUAGGGUUCGAUUCCGGAGAGGGAGCCUGAGAAACGGCUACCACAUCCAAGGAAGGCAGCAGGCGCGCAAAUUACCCAAUCCCGAUUCGGGGAGGUAGUGACAAUAAAUACUGAUACAGGGCUCUUUUGGGUCUUGUAAUUGGAAUGAGUACAAUUUAAAUCCCUUAACGAGGAACAAUUGGAGGGCAAGUCUGGCCCC
rnacentral:rRNA from 1 species